AGGAAAGAGAGGGAGACAAGGGGGAGAGAGUGAGACUGAAACCGAGACAAAGCUGAACAACAUCACUGAGCGGAGCAUCUCCACUGCAGGUCAGACAAGGAGAGAGAGGGAGACAGAGGAAUGCCAGGCUCAACAGCAGUUUAAAGCUGGGCAGCGGGACUGAGAUUGCCAUCCAGCCCCUGGUGAAGGAGGAGAACUUGGGAGAUGUAUUGCCCUGCGCCAGGCCGUCACCAGCCACUACUCCCUGCCCCCUGACAAGACUCUCAUCGCCAUGUACUGCCCAGACAAGAGCCAUUGGAUGCCCAUCUCCAGCUGGAAUAUUUUGUUUAGAGCCAGCAAGUGUCGAGGAAAAAGAAGCAGCAGCCUGAGAGCCUGCAAGGGGUGCCCUUUCACCUGAGGGACAGAGACCUGAUCGGAGCUGCUUGCUCAGUGCUUAUCCAACAGGCUUA